rnacentral:rRNA from 1 species
UGCCAGACUCCUACGGGAGGCAGCAGUGAGGAAUAUUGGUCAAUGGGCGGGAGCCUGAACCAGCCAUGCCGCGUGAAGGCGAGUGCCCUACGGGCGUUAAACUUCUUUUGUGCGGGAGCAAUAAGGGCCACGUGUGGCCCGAUGAGAGUACCGCACGAAUAAGCAUCGGCUAACUCCGUGCCAGCAGCCGCGGUAAUACGGGGGAUGCGAGCGUUAUCCGGAUUUAUUGGGUUUAAAGGGUGCGUAGGCGGCGCUUCAGGUCAGCGGUGAAAUACCGGGGCUCAACCCCGGGGCUGCCGUUGAAACCGGAGCGCUAGAAUUCCGAUGCCGUCGGAGGAAUGUGUGGUGUAGCGGUGAAAUGCAUAGAUAUCACGCAGAACUCCGAUUGCGAAGGCAGCAUACCGGCGCUCAACUGACGCUCAUGCACGAAAGUGUGGGUAUCGAACAGGAUUAGAUACCCCGGUACCA